GCCUAGCCAUAAACUUUGAUUUAUCCGCCAGAAUACUACGAGCAACAGCUUAAAACUCAAAGGACUUGGCGGUGCUCUACACCCCCCUAGAGGAGCCUGUUCUAUAAUCGAUAAUCCUCGCUAAACCUCACCACCUAUUGCCAAUACAGCCUAUAUACCACCGUCCAGCCCACCCUUUAAGGGUAUAACAGUAGGCAUAACUACAAACAUAAAAACGUCAGGUCAAGGUGUAGCAAAUAAGAUGGGAAGAAAUGGGCUACAUUUUCUAGUAUAGAAAAACACGGAAAAGUUUCUGAAACAGAACUAUAAAGGAGGAUUUAGCAGUAAAAAGAAAAAAGAGUAUUCUUUUUAAACCGGCAAUGGAGC
rnacentral:rRNA from 1 species